UGGGUUGUGGCUCAGUGGUAGAGCACUCACCUAGCACGUGCGAAUCCCUGGGUGCGAUCCUCAGCACUACAU
rfam:Ictidomys tridecemlineatus contig000468, whole genome shotgun sequence.